GACGAACGCUGGCGGCGUGCUUAACACAUGCAAGUCGAACGGUGAACCUCUUCGGAGGGGAUCAGUGGCGAACGGGUGAGUAACACGUGGGCAACCUGCCCCCGGCUCUGGGAUAACUCCAAGAAAUUGGGGCUAAUACCGGAUGUUCACCGCUUCCCGCAUGGGUGGUGGUGGAAAGGGUUUCCGGCUGGGGAUGGGCCCGCGGCCUAUCAGCUUGUUGGUGGGGUAGUGGCCUACCAAGGCGACGACGGGUAGCCGGCCUGAGAGGGUGACCGGCCACACUGGGACUGAGACACGGCCCAGACUCCUACGGGAGGCAGCAGUGGGGAAUAUUGCGCAAUGGGCGGAAGCCUGACGCAGCGACGCCGCGUGGGGGAUGACGGCCUUCGGGUUGUAAGCCUCUUUCAGCAGGGACGAAGCGCAAGUGACGGUACCUGCAGAAGAAGCACCGGCCAACUACGUG
rnacentral:rRNA from 1 species